UACGGGGGGGGUAAGCGUUGUUCGGAAUUACUGGGCGUAAAGGGCGUGUAGGCGGUCUGUUAAGUCAUGUGUGAAAUCCCUCGGCUCAACCGGGGAACGACGCAUGAAACUGACAAGCUAGAGUACCAAAGAGGAGAGUGGAAUUCCUGGUGUAGCGGUGAAAUGCGCAGAUAUCAGGAAGAACACCAAUGGCGAAGGCAGCUCUCUGGGACGGUACUGACGCUGAGACGCGAAAGCGUGGGGAGCGAACAGG
rnacentral:rRNA from 1 species